GAUGCAGAGAGUCCCUCCGACAGACACAUGUGGUAAUGGCUUGGGAUGCACACACGCCGACGAAUAAUUGGAAAAGAGACUUCUCAUUGUUCUAGGGCCCAUGAUUCAUUUGCUGUAGAAGUGAUCUCGUCGGCUGCCCUACACAUUUCCUCUCUGGACCAUGUUUUUCUUGGAUUGACUUAAAUAUACAAGGAACAAAGCACUUUCUGAAAGAAGCAACCCAAUGCCAACAUGUUGGACUUGAGAAAUCAAGAUGUCUCUGUAGGCAAGGCUUGAAGGGGUGUUUCUCUAUUCCCUGGCAGUUGUACGUGCACCUGCUCGGCCAUAAAGUACUCAACUCUGUCUUUUCCAUAAUUUUUGUGUGGCAAAGAAGUGUGAGGCUGAGUGGUGCAGGAAAACCAUCAGCAGCCACCUUGGGGAACAGAUGGACUUGUUCCUAGCCCUGCAAAGUGGGCUCUGGAGGAAGACUCCCACCCAGGGGAUUGGCUCACAACUAGGUCAGCCUGGUCCAUUUAGUUCUUUUUCCUUCCAGGUGCUUCGUUCCAAGCCUCUAAACCCCAAACCUGGGCGGCACUGCUUCCUUCCUUGGAAAAGCAAUUACAUGGCAAGACAUUACGUUUCUUUCUAACCAGCUGACCAGAUUCAAGUUGGCCAAAAGAAGAGGUGAACUAUAGUCAUGGUUGUGAUCGUCUCGCUACUCACAACGGGGAAGCUGUCCACGUGGAUUGUAAACUCCGCGCUGCUGGGCCGUUUAUCUCUGCCACCACAACAGCCCGGGCCGCAAACAGGCGAGCCGUUCUCUGCCCGGCUCCUGGGCUCCCGCCGGGAGGGCACAAUUAAGACAGACCCUUGCCUUCUUGGCUGCCAAAGCAUUUCAGCUUCUGAAGAGCAUGGGAAGCAACGCCAUCAACCCCCCUGAGGAAAUAAAUAAAUAAAUUAAUUAAUUAAAUAAAUGCA
rnacentral:lncRNA from 1 species